rfam:Catenaria anguillulae PL171 BCR44scaffold_55, whole genome shotgun sequence.
GCGCCUGUAGUGUAGGGGUAUCAUACGACCCUCCCAAGGUCGUGACUCGGGUUCGAAUCCCGGCGGGCGCA